rnacentral:rRNA from 1 species
AACGGGUGAGUAACACGUGGGCAAUCUGCCCUUCACUCUGGGACAAGCCCUGGAAACGGGGUCUAAUACCGGAUAACACUCUGUCCCGCAUGGGACGGGGUUAAAAGCUCCGGCGGUGAAGGAUGAGCCCGCGGCCUAUCAGCUUGUUGGUGGGGUAAUGGCCUACCAAGGCGACGACGGGUAGCCGGCCUGAGAGGGCGACCGGCCACACUGGGACUGAGACACGGCCCAGACUCCUACGGGAGGCAGCAGUGGGGAAUAUUGCACAAUGGGCGAAAGCCUGAUGCAGCGACGCCGCGUGAGGGAUGACGGCCUUCGGGUUGUAAACCUCUUUCAGCAGGGAAGAAGCGAAAGUGACGGUACCUGCAGAAGAAGCGCCGGCUAACUACGUGCCAGCAGCCGCGGUAAUACGUAGGGCGCAAGCGUUGUCCGGAAUUAUUGGGCGUAAAGAGCUCGUAGGCGGCUUGUCA